rfam:Enterococcus sp. 2G9_DIV0600 scaffold00001, whole genome shotgun sequence.
CAGGAAUUGGCUCAGUUUGGUAGAGCGCUACUUUUGGGCAGUAGAGAGCGCAGGUUCAAAUCCUGCAUUCCUGA